AGAGUUUGAUCAUGGCUCAGGAUGAACGCUGGCGGCGUGCCUAAUACAUGCAAGUCGAGCGGCAGCGCGAGUAGUUUACUACUGGCGGCGAGCGGCGGACGGCUGAGUAAUACAUAGGAACAUACCCCAAAGUGAGGGAUAACUGCUCGAAAGAGUAGCUAAUACCGCAUGUGCUCUACGGAGUAAAGCUUCGGCGCUUUGGGAAUGGCCUGUGCCUGAUUAGCUUGUUGGUGAGGUAAAAGCUCACCAAGGCGAUGAUCAGUAGCUGGUCUGAGAGGAUGAUCAGCCAGACUGGGACUGAGACACGGCCCAGACUCCUACGGGAGGCAGCAGUAGGGAAUUUUCCACAAUGGGCGAAAGCCUGAUGGAGCAACGCCGCGUGCAGGAUGAAUGCCUUAGGGUUGUAAACUGCUUUUAUUAGUGACGAAUAUGACGGUAACUAAUGAAUAAGGAUCGGCUAACUCCGUGCCAGCAGCCGCGGUCAUACGGAGGAUCCAAGCGUUAUCCGGAAUUACUGGGCGUAAAGAGUUGCGUAGGUGGCAUAGUAAGCGAAUAGUGAAAGCGUGUGGCUCAACCAUACAUCCAUUAUUUGAACUGCUAAGCUAGAAGAUGAGAGAGGUAGAUGGAAUUCCCAGUGUAGGAGUGGAAUCCGUAGAUAUUGGGAGGAACCCGAUGGCGUAGGCAGUCUACUGGCUCAUUCUUGACACUAAUGCACGAAAGCGUGGGUAGCAAACAGGAUUAGAUACCCUAGUAGUCC
rnacentral:rRNA from 1 species